AGGAAGAAACUUUCUUCCUCUCUCCCUGCAUCCAGGAGUUGGUUUGAUCAGGACUCUGGGGUAGGUUGUUGCCUAGAGCUUGUUCCGUAUUAGGUGUUGAGCUGUCCCAGGCAGCCCAAGAGAGUGGCAUUAUGUUCUAUGACUUUCUAUAAUUCCCAAAUUAACAGGUUUGCUGAAGGUUGCCAUUUGGACUCUACUGAACUACAUUCCACCCAUGGAAUGACUUAGAUUAGGGAGAGGUGUGGCCCUGUCCCAGAUUCUGAACUGCAGGGUGGUGCAGCAUUCACCAUCAGGAGUCAGCUAGGCUGCACAAGGCAGAAGUCUGGAGGAUCCUCAGAGGUGAUGGUGAUGGCAAUAGCAACCAGCUGCAACCACCUUCCAGAUCAACCAGCAUCCAGGCCUGGAUGUGACGCAAGAUUCACCUGGCAACCUUGUUAAAUAGGUUCUAAUUAUGUCUAGGGUGGCAUACAAGACUGCAUUUCUAGCAAGCUCCCAGGUGCUACCGAUGCUUCUAGUCCUCGCCUGGCAAUAACAAAGGUCUGGCCUUUGCAUCUUGCAGUACAAGUCCAAGAAUCUGCUCCAUCAGCAAACCCAAAGGACAACCAGGACUGAAGAUUAGGCAGCAGUGGUGGGAUCCAAAGCAUUCAGGGACAAUGAGAAAUGGAGGACCACACCCUUCGAACCCUUUUGAGAUCACUGCCUUUCUCACUAUUUCCAAAGGCUGCUGGACAGAGGAAACCAAGAUAACAGAAACAACUCACAGCAGAGAAAGCACUGAAAUGCAGAAAAAGAGAGAAGAAAGGGAAGUUAGAAGCCCCGGGCAACACCAGCCCUUUUCAAUUUCAUCAUUAAUAUGGGCAGCAUUGGACUUUUGAAAACAAUAUCCUACCUGAGCUACAUCUUCAGAAUGGUAGUUAACAGGUUUAUUAUUGCUGCCUUGUGCCAAAAAUCAAGGAUUAAAUAGACUCAUUAAUAUUUAUGUAGUGGGAUAAUAUUUUGAGAUACUAACCUAGAGUUUUCCCCCUGAUACCCACCUCCCUACCCUGUCCUCCCUACCCCCACCCAGUACUCUUAGGCCUUUCCUGGGCCCCCUGCAGCUAGGACCUUCUUUAUUCAUUGUCUCAGCCUAGAGCCUCCGGAGCCUACUAAGCCCUAGAUCUCUGCCCACUCAGCCUAGUGUGAUAGAAUAGAGACAGCUUCACAGUGUCUCUUCUUGCCCAGAAUGCCUGAGACGGCUUCAGGGAGGUUUCCAUAGGCCACUGUGAUGCUCCAUCUGAACAAUGGUCAACAUACAGCUGAGAGAGGGCUGGCAAGCCUGAAGACUACUUGAGGUUGCGACCAGAAAGACACAACAGUGACCCACUGAUCAAUCAUCAAAGAUCAAACAGGUGCCAGGAUGGAUAAAUGAUGACAACAUAAAAGAGAUGCUCCUGACUCCCACCUCCAGUCUGACUCAUUGGCACAGGUGAGCACCCCAGAACUCAGACCCUGAGAUUAAUUUUCGACCACCCGACAGAAUAGAGAAAAAGAGAGCACAUUUCUUACCUAACUGCCUGUGUAGCCUGGAAUGUGUACCCUCCGCAUCAGUUAAUAAA